UACGUAGGGUGCAAGCGUUGUCCGGAAUUAUUGGGCGUAAAGGGCUCGUAGGCGGUCCAUCGCGUCGGGAGUGAAAAGCUGGGGCUUAACCCCAGUCCUGCUUCCGAUACGGGUGGACUAGAGGUAGGUAGGGGAGAUCGGAAUUCCUGGUGUAGCGGUGAAAUGCGCAGAUAUCAGGAGGAACACCGGUGGCGAAGGCGGAUCUCUGGGCCUUACCUGACGCUGAGGCGCGAAAGCUAGGGGAGCAAACGGG
rnacentral:rRNA from 1 species